UACGGAGGGUGCAAGCGUUAUCCGGAUUCACUGGGUUUAAAGGGUGCGUAGGUGGGUUGGUAAGUCAGUGGUGAAAUCAUCCGUGCUUAACAUGGAAACUGCCAUUGAUACUACUGAUCUUGAAUUUUCAGGAGGUAAGCGGAAUAUGUCAUGUAGCGGUGAAAUGCUUAGAUAUGACAUAGAACACCAAUUGCGAAGGCAGCUUACUACAGGAAUAUUGACACUGAUGCACGAAAGCGUGGGGAUCAAACAGG
rnacentral:rRNA from 1 species